rnacentral:rRNA from 1 species
UACGUAGGGUGCGAGCGUUGUCCGGAAUUAUUGGGCGUAAAGAGCUCGUAGGCGGUUCGUCGCGUCGGCUGUGAAAUCCCGAGGCUCAACCUCGGGUCUGCAGUCGAUACGGGCGGACUUGAGUACUGCAGGGGAGACUGGAAUUCCUGGUGUAGCGGUGAAAUGCGCAGAUAUCAGGAGGAACACCGGUGGCGAAGGCGGGUCUCUGGGCAGUAACUGACGCUGAGGAGCGAAAGCGUGGGGAGCGAACAGG